GUUGUGAGGUUAGCGACUAAGCGUACACGGUGGAUGCCCUGGCAGUCAGAGGCGAUGAAGGACGUGCUAAUCUGCGAUAAGCGUCGGUAAGGUGAUAUGAACCGUUAUAACCGGCGAUUUCCGAAUGGGGAAACCCAGUGUG
rnacentral:rRNA from 1 species